rnacentral:rRNA from 1 species
AGAGUGAACGCUGGCGGUAGGCCUAACACAUGCAAGUCGAACGGCAGCACAGUAGGAGCUUGCUCUUACGGGUGGCGAGUGGCGGACGGGUGAGGAAUACAUCGGAAUCUACCUUUUGGUGGGGGAUAACGUAGGGAAACUUACGCUAAUACCGCAUACGCCCUUCGGGGGAAAGCCGGGGACCAGCAAUGGCCUGGCGCUGAUAGAUGAGCCGAUGUCGGAUUAGCUAGUUGGUGAGGUAAUGGCUCACCAAGGCGACGAUCCGUAGCUGGUCUGAGAGGAUGAUCAGCCACACUGGAACUGAGACACGGUCCAGACUCCUACGGGAGGCAGCAGUGGGGAAUAUUGGACAAUGGGCGCAAGCCUGAUCCAGCCAUACCGCGUGGUGAAGAAGGCCUUCGGUUGUAAAGCCCUUUUGUUGGAAAGAAAGCAUUCGGUUAAUACCCGGUGUUCUGACGGUACCAAGAAUAAGCACGGCUAACUCGUGCCAGCAGCCG